AUGCUACUCCCUCCGUCCGGAAAUACUUGUCAUCAAAAUAAAUAAAAGGGGAUGUAUCUAGAUGUAUUUUAGUUUUAGAUACAUCCCUUUUUGUUCAUUUUGAUGACAAGUAUUUUCGGACGGAGGGAGUACUAG
rnacentral:pre_miRNA from 1 species